rnacentral:lncRNA from 1 species
AAGUCUCACACAUAUGAUGAAUAGUGGUAUAUAAACGAAUGUCACAUCUUUACUAUAUAAUAGGAGUUCUGUACAAAAUAAAUAAAUAAUUACAUCAUAUGGAGAUAACGAUCCAGGAACCCAAAGUUGACUAGAAGGCGAUGGCCUAGACCUCUCACGAACUCGUCACAUCAUCCUCCAUGCGCCUCAUCCUGCGGUACCUGUUCUUGACCUGUGGGGGUGUGAGAUAGCAAGAGUAAGCUCACAUACGUUCAUCACUCAACAAGUUGUGGGGAAUAAUGUGCAUGAACUCACCAAAGGUGGGAGCUCAUGUGAAGUGUAAGGCUUACCAAAGAGGAUGGUUAAAGCUGAGCAUUGCUUUUAAAGUUGGUCAAAAUUUUAUUAGCAGUUGCUAAGUGUAAGUAUAUACCAACCCAAAUAAGUAAUAGAACCAAAGUGAUAAAAACACACGCAAUACAAUGCAUAUGACAAAUUGAAUUUAGUUCCAUAAAUUAAUCAUGUGAGUGUCUGAGCUGCUCAUGACCGUGAGCACGACUAAUAUACCAGUUUUACACUCUACAGAGGUUGCACAUCAUUACCCACAAGUCAUGUUACCCAUCUGCCAAGGGUCGCGACUUCCCAUACACCUCUACCAAGGAGGCGAGGCAGGGGAACACUACGAGGCCUUUACAAAGUUCCACUAGCUUCAGAAAAUCCGCUACAGUUUCUAGGAAGCUCCAAUGCAGGGACCCCUCGCCUGACCGCCAUCGCAACAAAAUCAACCCAAGGGCCUCACUACACUGACCACGCCCCUACUACCCUUGCCCCUUUCGGGUAAGGUAGUCCUCCACUAGCUUUCCUAAUUAGUCAGCCAAGGGUGUCCCAUACGACCCUUGUGGCAGCACUAUUUUCCCGGGUGGUUCUCCAUGUUCCAAUUAACAUAAUGAUCUUAUAAUGGAAAGUAAAUAACAAACUAAUAAUAAAAGUAUGAUCAUGAAUAAUGUGUAUCUCCAUACCCAAAACCACAUAAAGCAAUAGCAGGUACUACCCAAAAAUUCAGUGGUAAACAAGGUAUAAAGAUAGCCAAACUAGGUAACCUAUUGGGUCCCAUCAAAAUUAACCUAUGCAGAUUAUUAUGAUUAAUAAAAACAUGAUUGGGUAAAAAGAAGUGAUCAAGGGCACAACUAGCCUAGGACUUGAGAUUCCAGGUACCAACUUGCUCUUCAGGUGACUCGUGACCUCACUGCUAAAUGUAGCAAUACAACAAACACGGUAUACACAAAAUUAACAUCACUGUAUAACAUAAGUACAAACUGAAUAAUAAUGAUCUACGCGAAGCUACAAGAUCGUGGGAUCGAGAACCACUAAAUUCAGAAUUACGGUUAAAGAGUUAUGAAUUUCUAAAGAUUUAGGAGUGGAGUGUAACAGAAAUUAAGUACCAAAAUUUUAAUCUAGGUUUCAUAACAAAAUAAAGCUACAAGGUGGUAGGUAGUGUUAAUACGAACCUAAUGCAACUGGAACACGUUAAAUCGGAGAUAUCACAAAGAAGUUAUGAUUUUUCUAUCCUUCUAGGUAUUUUUUAUAUUUAGUUUACACUUAAAAACGUUAUUGUCGGCGUUUCGAGACCGGGGGGUCCCUGGACCAACGAGUGAAAUGUCGUCGCGUGCCCCAGCCCAGAUGGGUCGGCGCGAGACGGAGCGCAAAGGGGGGGGGAGGCAGCCGGAGAGAGAGAGGUGGAAAUCCCGCGGCCUUCAUGUUUGUCCCGCGCCCAAGGUCGGGUGCGCUUGCAGUAGGGGGUUACAAGCGUCCACGUGGGAGGGAGCGAGCGGCCUCACGCGAGCGCCUGUCCCGUUCUCUUCCCCGCGUGGCCAACCCUCUGAAAGAGGGCCCUGGUCCUUCCUUUUAUAGGCGUAAGGAGAGGAUCCAGGUGUACAAUGGGGGGUGUAGCAGAGUGCUAACGUGUCUAGCGGAGGAGAGCUAGCGCCCUAAGUACAUGCCAUCGUAGCAGCCGGAGAGGUUUUGGCACCUGGUUCGUGUGGUGUCGUGGCCGUCGGAGGAGCGCUGGAGCCUGGCGGAAGGACAGCUGUCGGAGCUGUCGAGUCCUUGCUGACGUCCUCUUGCUUCCGUAAGGGGGCUGAGAGCCGCCGUCGUCAUAGAGCGUGCGGGGCGCCAUCAUUGCUUGUCUGGCGGAGCGAGCCAGAUGGGACGCCGGUCUUGUUUUUCAUAGCCUGAGUCAGCUUGGGGUAGGGUAAUGAUGGCACCUCCUGUUGACGUGGUCGGUCUGUGCCCUAAGUUGGGCGAUGUGGAGGCUCCUCCGAGGUCGAGGUCGAGUCUAUCUUCCAAGGCCAAGGUCGAGUACGAGCCCCUGGGUCGGGCGAGGCGGAGACCGUCAGCUGAGGCCAGGGCUGAGUCCGAGCCCUGGGGUCGGGCGAAACGGAGUUCGUCGUCUUCCGGGGCUGAGCCCGAGUCCGGGCCCUGGGUCGGGCGGAGCGAAGUUUGUCGUCUUCCGGGGCUGAGCCCGAGUCCGAGCCCUGGGUCGGGCGGAGCGGAGUUCGCCUUCUUCCGGGGCUGAGCCCGAGUCCGAGCCCUAGGUCGGGCGGAGCGGAGUUCGCCGUCUUCCGGGGCUGAGCCCGAGUCCGAGCCCUGGGUCGGGCGGAGCGGCGUUCGCCGUCUUCCGGGGCUGAGCCCGAGUCCGAGCCCUAGGUCGAGCGAAGCGGAGUUUCCUAUGGUUCCUAAGGCCGGGCCCAGCUGCCUGUCAGCCUCACUCAGCCGAGUGGCACAGCAGUCGGAGCGGCGCAGGCGGCGCUGUCCUUCUGUCAGGCCGGUCAGUGGAGCGGUGAAGUGACUGCGGUCACUUCGGCUCUAUCGACUGAAGGGUGUGCGUCAGGAUAAAGGUGUCAGGCCACCUUUGCAUUAACUGCCCCUGCGAUUUGGUCGGUUGGCAUGGUGAUUUGGCCAGGGUUGCUUCUUGGUGAAGACUGGGCCUCGGGCGAACCGGAAGUAUGUUCGUCGCUGGAGGGGGGCCUCGGGCGAGACGUAGAUCCUCCAGGGUCGGCUGCCCUUGCUCGAGGCUGGGUUCGGGCGAGGCGUGAUCGAGUCCCUCGAAUGGACAGAUCCCUGACUUAGUCGCACCCAUCAGGCCUUUGCAGCUUUGUGCUGAUGGGGGUUACCAGCUGAGAAUUAGGAGUCUUGAGGGUACCCCUAAUUAUGGUCCCCGACAGUAGCCCCCGAGCCUCGAAGGGAGUGUUAACACUCGCUUGGAGGCUUUUGUCGCACUUUUUUGCAAGGGGACCAGCCUUUCUUUGUUGCGUUUUGUUCCGGUGGGUGCGCGCGAGCGCACCCGCCGGGUGUAGCCCCCAAGGCCUUGGAGGAGUGGUUUGACUCCUCUGAGGUCGUAAUGCCUCGCGCAAUGCUUCGGCUGGUCUGGUCGUUCCCUCAUGCGAGCUGGCCGUAGCCCGGGUGCACGGUCGGGUCCCAAGUUCUCGGGCUGGAAUGUUGACGCUGUCAACGGUUUGCGAGAGCAGCCCCCGAGCCUCUGCACAGGGCGAGAGGACGGUCAAGGACAGACUCGACUUUUUACAUACGCCCCUGCGUCGCCUUUCCGCAAGGAGGAGGGGGGAAAGCGCCAUGUUGCCCUCGGAGGGCGCCGAACAUGGUGUCUCCGGUGAGCUGCUGGCGGGUAAUCCGAGUGGACGCCCGUGCCCCAUUUGUUAGGGGUCGGCUAGAGGCCCGAAGGCGCGCUCAAAAGUACCUGCGGGUGAUCUGCCGGACCCGGUCCCCUUUCGACGGGGUCCGAGGGCUCGAUGCCUCCCUCUGAUGGGAUUCCGUUACAAGAUCGUUCCCGCUGGUCUCGGAAAUGUCCUAGGGUACCUCGGGAGCGUAGCCCGAGCCUUGGUUAUGUAUCGAACGUACCCAGGGUCAUCCCUCGCUCUGUGUCUGAGGCGGCUGUGAACCCUUCGAGGGCCAGCCUACGAACCCCUGAUCAGUAGUGGGCGCGGAGCCCGAGUAGCCUGAGGCGGCCAUUGAACCCUUCUGAGGGGCCGGCCUUCAAACCUCUGACCAGUAGUGGGUGUGGGGCCCACGCGCUCUGAGGCGGUUGUUAAACCCCUCCGAGGGGCCAGCCUUUGAACCUCUGAUCAGUAGGGAGGCUCGGAGCCUGUUUCCUUCACGGAGAAGGAUCCUUUUCGGGGUAUCCCCCUUUCCCGGUCCCUGUUGUAAGAGAGAGAAAGAGGAAAAGGAAAAGGAUACGAAAUCGAUUGUUGUGGCGUACCUCUUUGGACGCGGUCAUUAUGGCGAAGGCGAAGCGUCGCUUGCUUCUCCUGCCAGAGGCGCCGCCUGUUCCGCCGCAGAGUUAAUGCGACGGGGCGAGUAGUUCGCGGGGCGGCCGUUGCGCGUGCGCGAGCCAUUCGAGGAACGGCCGUUUCGCUUUGAGUUUUUGAAUCCCGCGGCAGGUUCGGGCGAAACAUUGAACGGGUCUCGCCUUGGUCUUUAUAUACUCGGGGGAGGGUCUGGCGACGGUUCUUUGCUCCGCUUCUCGCCUCCUUCUUAGGUUUUCGCAACCUGAGAGAUUUAGCCAGAGAAAAGGAAACCGCCCACCCUGUCCUUUCCGCCGCCACCCCCUUUGCUCGGUGAUGGCCGACCGGGUGACCAUCGUCUCGCCGCGCGACCCAUGGCCUUUCUCCACAGUCACGGUGGACGACCUGGCGGAUCUUGUUGCUGAGGGUUUACUUCGCCCUCUCUCUGAUGAGAGGCAGCCGGAGUGGAUUCCCCCCGCGAGCGGAGCUGCUCCGUCCCCGCCGCCGAGGUACGUCGUGAGCUUCGUCUCCUUCCACGAGCGGGGAUUCGGUGUGCCGGCAAGUCGCUUCGUGCGGGCGAUCCUGCACAACUAUGGGGUGGAGUUGCACAACCUCAGCCCCAACUCCAUCUCGCAAGCCGCCAUCUUCGUAGCGGUGUGCGAAGGAUACUUGGGGAUCGCCCCCCACUGGGACUUGUGGACUCAUCUCUUUUCCGCGGAGCUUUUUGCUUCGCCGACGGGGGAGAGAAGGGUCCGCGCGGCAGUGUGGGCUGGCGGCUGCAUCCUCCAGCUGAGGCAGUCGCGGGCGUCGCAGUAUAUUCCCGCCAUCCUUGCGUCCUCGAAUAAGGGGUGGCAGCGCCGGUGGUUCUACCUCCGGAAUGACGGCGAGAUGCUCCCGCCGCGCUGCUCGGUCCACAGUGUCCUCCGGGACCCGUGGCCGGGAAGGCUUGUGCCACCCUACCUCUAGGGUCACGCACCCGUGGUCGGGGCGCAUCAAGGGCUGAGAGAAGGCACUGGCGUCCGGUUUUCCCAACGUGACGGCCACCCGCCCGUGGAGAACGUCGAUGGGAAGAGGAUCCGACGACAUCCGCACACCCGGCGGGUGUAGCCCCCGAGGGAGGGUCGGGCUUUGCCGAGGCAAGGCUGACCCUUCCUUGAUGACCAAAUUUUGCGUGGGAACGAGGUAUACGAACAACUUGAAAACAUCUUAAGGGUAGAAGCGACGUAGCUGUUGGAUGUUCCAAGUGUUGGUGUAGACCUCGCCUUGACUGUCGGCCAGCUUGUUCGUUUCGGGCUUCAGAACUUUGGCAAUGAUGGACAGCCCUUCCCAGGGGUGCGUGUAGCCCCCGGGUGCCUUCUGCAAGGGGUCGACGAGGUCCAGACCCCACACAGCAAAAGGCUAGGUGAUGGGUAUCGUCUGCAGAGCCUGAGCGGGCAGGUGGGUCUGCCUUGCGUAGAACUGACACCCUUCGCAGGUGCGGACAAUUCUAGUGGCGUCGGCCACCGCCGUCGGCCAGUAGAAACCUUGUCGGAAGGCGUUUCCAACAAGGGCUCGAGGUGCUGCGUGAUGGCCGCAAGCCCCCGAGUUAUCUCUCGUAGGAGCUCCUGACCUUCGGCGAUGGGGAUGCAGCGCUGGAGGAUGCCUAAGGGGCUACGGUGGUAGAGCUCCUUCCCAUCUCCCAGCAAGACGAACGACUUGACGCGCCGCGCCAACCACCGAGCUUCGGCUCGGUCGAGGGGUAGCUCUCCUCGAUGGAGAUAUUGCAGGUACGGGGUCUGCUAGUUUCGAUUAGGCGUGACCCCGCUUCGCUCCUCCUCGACGCGCAGUGCCUCACCCUCGGGGGCCGAGGGUGCCUCGGGCCGAAGCGAGGGUGCCUCGGGCCAAGCCGAGGGUGCCGCGGACUGAGCCGAGGAUACCUCGGGCUGAGCCGAGGGUACCUCGGGCAGGGCCGAGGGUGCCUCGGGCUCGGGCGUGUCGUCGAUCUUGACGGAGGGUUGAUGCAGGUCUCGGGAGAAGACGUCCGGGGGAACCGUUGUUCACCCCGAGGCUAUUUUAGCCAGCUCGUCCACAGUCUCAUUGUAGUGUCGGGCGAUGUGGUUGAGCUCGAGCUCAUAGAACUUGUCUUCCAGGCGCCGAACCUCAUCGCAGUAGGCCUCCAUCUUCGGGUCGCGGCAGUGGGAGUUCUUCAUGACUUGGUCGAUGACGAGCUGCGAGUCACCGCGAGCGUCGAGGCGUCGGACCCCUAGCUCGAUGGUGAUCCGCAACCCGUUGACCAGAGCCUUGUACUAAGCCAUAUUGUUGGACGCCGGGAAAUGGAGGCGUAGCACGUAGCGUAGGUGCUUCCCGAGGGGCGAGAUGAAGAGUAGGCCUGCGCCGGCUCCUGUCUUCAUCAGCGACCCGUCGAAGAACAUGGUCCAGAGUUCCGGCUGGAUCGGAACUAUUGGGAGCUGGGUGUCGACCCAUUCAGCCACGAAGUCCGCCAAGACCUGGGACUUGAUGGCCUUCCGAGGGGCGAACGAGAUUGUUUCGCCCAUGAUUUCCACCGCCCACUUUGCGAUUCUACCCGAGGCCUCUCGGCACUGGAUGAUCUCCCCCAGGGGGAAGGAUGACACCACAGUUACCGGAUGAGACUCGAAGUAGUGUCGCAACUUCCGCCGCGUCAGGAUCACUGCAUAUAACAGCUUCUGAACUUGUGGGUAGCGGAUCUUGGUCUCGGACAGUACCUCGCUGAUGAAGUAGACUGGCCUCUGGACGGGCAAUGCAUGCCCCUCUUCUCGUCUCUCAACCACAAUCGCGGCGCUAACCACCAUGAGUGGUCGCGGCGACGUAGAUAAAGAGGGCUUCUCCGGCAGCGGGGGGCACCAAGAUGGGCGCGUUCGUGAGGAGCGCCUUCAGGUUCCCGAGGGCUUCCUCGGCCUCAGGGGUCCAAGUGAAGCACUCAACCUUCCUUAAGAGGCGGUACAGAGGCAGGCCUCUUUCGCCGAGGCACGAGAUGAAACGGCUCAGAGCCGCAAGGCACCCCAUGACUCUCUGUACGCCUUUCAAGUCCUUAAUGGGUCCCAUGCUGGUGAUGGCCGCGAUCUUCUCUGGGUUGGCUUCGAUGCCCCGCUCGGAUAUGAUGAACCCCAAGAGCAUGCCUCGGGGUACCCCGAAGACACACUUUUCGGGAUUGAGCUUCACGCCUAUCGCCUUGAGACUUCGAAAUGUCACUUCAAGGUCGGAAAGGAGGUUGGAGGCUUUCCUUGUCUUGACUACGAUGUCAUCGAUGUAGGCCUCGAUCGUCCGGCCAAUGUGUUCGCCGAACACAUGGUUCAUGCACCGCUGGUACGUUGCACCCGCAUUCCUCAAGCCGAACGGCAUGGUGACAUAGCAGUACAUGCCGAAGGGUGUGAUGAAAGAAGUCGCGAGCUGGUCGGACUCUUUCAUCCUGAUUUGGUGAUACCCUGAGUAGGCAUCGAGGAAAGACAGGGUUUCGCACCCAGCAGUGGAAUCCACAAUUUGGUCGAUGCGAGGCAGAGGGUAGGGAACCUUCGGACAUGCUUUGUUUAGACCAGUGUAGUCUACACACAUCCACAAUUUCCCUCCUUUCUUUCUCACAAGCUCAGGGUUGGCAAGCCAUUCGGGAUGGAAUACCUCUUUGAUGAACCCUGCCGCCAUUAGCUUGUGGAUCUCCUCGCCUAUGGCUCUGCGCUUUUCUUCGUCGAAUCGGCGCAGAGCCUGCUUCACGGGUCGGGCUCCAGCUCGGAUAUCCAGCGAGUGCUCGGCGACAUCCCUCGGUAUGCCGGGCAUGUCCGAGGGACUCCACGUGAAAACAUCGGCGUUUGCGCGGAGAAAGUCGACGAGCACUGCUUCCUAUUUGGGAUCGAGCUCGGAGCCGAUCCGGAUCUGCUUGGAGGCGUCGCUGCUGGGGUCGAGGGGGACAGACUUAACCGUCUCUGCUGGCUCGAAGUUGCUGGCGUGGCACUUCACGUCUGGCACCUCCUUAGAGAGGCUCUCCAGGUCGGCGAUGAGGGCCUCGGAUUCGGCGAGGGCCUCGGCGUACUCCACGCACUCCACGUCACAUUCGAACGCGUGUCGGUACGUGGGGCCGACGGUGAUUUCCCCGUUGAGGCCCAGCAUCUUGAGCUUGAGGUAGGUGUAGUUGGGGACGGCCAUGAACUUCACGUAGCAUGGCCUCCCCAAUACUGCAUGGUAGGUUCCUCGGAACCCGACCACCUCGAACAUGAGAGUCACCCUUCGGAAGUUGGAGGGUGUUCCGAAGCAGACGGGAAGGUCGAGUUGUCCGAGGGGCUGGACGCGCUUCCCGGGGAUGAUCCCGUGGAAAGGCGCAGUGCCUGCCCAGACCGAGGAUAGAUCAACACGCAGGAGCCCGAGGGUCUAGGUGUAGAUGAUGUUGAGGCUGCUGCCUCCGUCCAUGAGGACCUUGGUGAGCUUGACGUCGCCGAUGAUGGGGUCGACAACGUGCGGGUAUUUCCCCGGGCUCGGCACGUGGUCGGGGUGGUCGGCUUGGUCGAAGGUGAUGGGCUUGUCAGACCAGUCUAGGUAGACUGGCGCCGCCACCUUUACCGAACAGACCUCCCGACGCUCUUGCUUGUGGUGCCGAGCCGAGGCGUUCGCCUCUUGCCCACCGUAGAUCAUGAAGCAGUCGCGGACCUCAGGGAACUCUCCUGCCUGGGGAUCUUCCUUCUUGUCGUCGUCGCGAGCCCUGCCACCCUCCGUGGGUGGCCCGGCCCUGUGGAAGUGGCGCCGAAGCAUGGCGCACUCCUCAAGGGUGUGCUUGACGGGCCCCUGAUGAUAGGGGCACGGCUCCUUGAGCAUCUUGUCGAAGAGGUUGGCACCUCCGGGGGGUUUCUGAGGGUUCUUGUACUCGGCGGCGGCGACAAGGUCCGCGUCGGCGGCAGCGACAAGGUCCGCGUCGGCGGCGUCGCGUUUCGCUUGUGACUUCUUCUUGCCCUUCUUCUUGGCGCCGCGCUGAGUUGAUGCCUCGGGGGCAUCUUCCGGUGGGCGGCCAUGGGGCUGCUUGUCCUUCCGGAAGAUAGCCUCAACCGCCUCCACGCGAGAGGCGAACUUGGUAGCGAUGUCCAUCAGCUCGCUCGCCCUGGUGGGGGUCUUUUGACCUAGCUUGCUGACCAGGUCGCGGCAAGUGGUGCCGGCGAGGAACGCGCCGAUGACAUCCGAAUCGGUGAUGUUGGGCAGCUCGGUGCGCUGCUUCGAGAAUCGCUGGAUGUAGUCCCGGAGAGACUCUCCCAGCUGCUGUCGGCAGCUUCGGAGGUCCUAGGAGUUCCCAGGGUGCACGUACGUGCCCUGGAAAUUGCCGGCGAAGGCUUGGACCAGGUCGUCCCAGUUGGAGAUCUGCCCCGGAGGCAGGUGCUCCAAUCAGGCGCGAGCGGUGUCGGAGAGGAACAGGGGGAGGUUGCGGAUGAUGAGGUUGUCAUCGUCCGUUCCACCCAGUUGGCAGGCCAGCCGGUAGUCCGCGAGCCACAGUUCCGGUCUCGUCUCCCCCGAGUACUUUGUGAUAGUAGUCGGGGGUCGGAACCGGGUCGGGAACGGCGCCCGUCGUAUGGCGCGGCUGAAACCCUGCGGACCGGGUGGUUCGGACGAGGGACUCCGAUCCUCCCCGCUGUCGUAGCGUCCCCCACGCCUGGGGUGGUAGCCUCGUCGCACCCUCUCGUCGAGGUGGGCCCGACGGUCGCGGUGAUGGUGCUCAUUGUCGAGGCGACCCGGGGCCGCAGGCGCUAUGUUGCGCGUGCGCCCGGUGUGGACCGAGGCUUCCCGCAUGAAUCAGGAAGUCACAGCGCGAUGUUCCGAGGGGUACCCCUGCCUUCGGGAGGCGGAGCUUUCGGCCCGUCGGACCGUGGCGCCCUCCAGGAGAUUCUUGAGCUCUCCCUGGAUUCGCCGCCCCUCGGUGGUUGAUGGCUCCGGCAUCGCGCGGAGAAGCAUUGCUGCUGCAGCCAGGUUCUGGCCGACUCCACUGGAAGCGGGUGGCGGCCUCACCCUAACAUCGUCGGCGAUGCGGUGCUGGAAGCCCUGGGGUAGAUGGCGCACUUCCCCGGCUGGAGGUUGGCCCGCCCAUUCCUGCCCGACGUCCCGGCGGAUCGGCUCAAGUGUUCCUGCUCCCUCGUCGAGCCUGGCCUGCACCCCGUGGAUUUGCUCGAGCUGUGGGUCAUGACCCCCCGCCUGAACAGGGACCACAGCUAGCUCCCGUAGGAUGUCAACGCGAGGCACAGGCCUAGGGAGAUCACCGUUCUCCGGCAUACCAAGAUGGUUGCCUUCGGAGGGACCCCCUAGAUCGACGUGGAAACAUUCACGACUUGGGCCGCAGUCCUCGUCGCCAAGGCUGCGGCUACCGUCGGAACAGUCCGAAAGGCAGUAGUCGCAUGCGGCCAUGAAGUACCGCAUGGCACUGGGGUUAUGAAGUCCGGAGAAAUCCCAACAGAAGUCGGGCAUGUCGUCUUCCCCGGACACCGAGGGCCCGUAGGUCGAGGCGUCCGUCAGCCGGUCCCAGGGCGACCGCACACGAUGCCCCAGAGGGUUUGGACCCGCCUCUACGAGAGCGCUCGCCAAAGCGAAGUCGCUUGGCGGGUCGAGGCUGAAUCCAAAAGGUGUGAGAUGGGAAUCGGUGGGUACCUCUUGGUCGACGGGCGGUGACGAAGUCACGUCAGGGACGGAUUGCACCGUCGUCUCAGGUAUGAGGGUGACGCCCAGCAAGUCCUUCGCGAGCGUGCUGGCGUCGUCCGUUUGUUUGGGAUUGGCGUGUUGCAGGGAGACGACGCUCGUCUUCGUCUCAGACGCGAGGUCGAGGCCCGGCGUGCCCCCCGUUGGGGCGCCGGCGCCGUCGACUCGCUCGACAGCCGACGAGGUGCUACCUCCUGCUUGGCCUUGGUUGCCCCGCCUCCUCCUCCGUCGGUGGGGGAGAGGGCGGGGUGAGCUCGAAUGUUGUUCUUCCACUGCGCGGGGAAGACGUCGUCGAUUCCGCCCGCCAGCGGGCGGGCUGUCGGCCGCCAUUGUUGUUGUCGCACGGCGGGGUAAAGAGUAUCAUGUCGUAACUGUCGUCGAGGGACAUGAACUCAAAACUCCCGAAACGGAGCACUGUCCCGGGCUGGAAAGGUUGCUGAAGACUGCCCAUCUGGAGCUUGACGGGAAGUUGUUCGUCAACACGCAGCAGGCCCCUACCUGGCGCGCCAACUGUCGGCGUUUCGAGACCGGGGGGUCCCUGGACCGACGAGUGAAAUGUCGCCGCGUGCCCCAGCCCAGAUGGGUUGGCGCGAGACGGAGCGCGAAGGGGGGGGGGGAAGGUAGCCGGAGAGAGAGAGAGGUGGAAAUCCCGCGGCCUUCGUGUUUGUCCCGCGCCCAAGGUCGGGUGCGCUUGCAGUAGGGGGUUACAAGCGUCCACGCGAGAGGGAGCGAGCGGCCUCACGCGAGCGCCUGUCCCGUUCUCUUCCCCGCGCGGCCAACCCUCUGUAAGAGGGCCCUGGUCCUUACUUUUAUAGGCGUAAGGAGAGGAUCCAGGUGUACAAUGGGGGGUGUAGCAGAGCGCUAACAUGUCUAGAGGAGGAGAGCUAGCGCCCUAAGUACAUGCCAUCGUGGCAGCCGGAGAGGUUUUGGCACCCGGUUCGUGUGGUGUCGUGGCCGUCGGAGGAGCACUGGAGCCUGGCGGAAGGACAGCUGUCGGAGUUGUCGAGUCCUUGCUGACGUCCUCUUGCUUCCGUAAGGGGGCUGAGAGCCGCCGUCGUUAUAGAGCGUGCGGGGCACCAUCAUUGCUUGUCUGGCGGAGCGAGCCAGAUGGGACGCCGGUCAUGUUUCCCGUAGCCUGAGUCAGCUUGGGGUAGGGUAAUGACGGCGCCUCCUGUUGACGUGGUCGGUCCGUGCCCUAGGUUGGGCGAUGUGGAGGCUCCUCCGAGGUCGAGGUCGAGUCUGUCUUCCGAGGCCGAGGUCGAGUCCGAGCCCCUGGGUCGGGCGAGGCGGAGACCGUCAGCUGAGGCCAGGGCUGAGUCCGAGCCCUGGGGUCGGGCGAAACAGAGUCCGUCGUCUUCCGGGGAUGAGCCCGAGUCCGGGCCCUGGGUCGGGCGGAGCGGAGUUCGUCGUCUUCCGGGGCUGAGCCCGAGUCCGAGCCCUGGGUCGGGCAGAGCGGAGUUCGUCGUCUUCCGGGGCUGAGCCCGAGUCCGAGCCCUGGGUCGGGCGGAGAGGAGUUCGCCGUCUUCCGGGGCUGAGCCCGAGUCCGAGCCCUGGGUCGGGCGGAGCGGAGUUCGCCGUCUUUUGGGGCUGAGCCUGAGUCCAAGCCCUAGGUCGGGCGGAGCGGAGUUCGCCGUCUUCUGGGGCUGAGCCCGAGUCUGAGCCCUGGGUCGGGCGAAGCGGAGUUUCCUAUGGUGCCUGAGGCCAGGCCCGGCUGCCUGUCAGCCUCACUCUUCCGAGUGGCACAGCAGUCGGAGCGGCGCAGGCGGCGCUGUCCUUCUGUCAGGUCGGUUAGUGGAGCGGCGAAGUGACUGCGGUCACUUCGGCUCUGUCGACUGAAGGGUGCGCGUCAGGAUAAAGGUGUCAGGCCACCUUUGCAUUAAAUGCCCCUACGAUUUGGUCGGUUGGCGUGGCGAUUUGGCCAGGGUUGCUUCUUGGCGAAGACUGGGCCUCGGGCGAGCCGGAAGUAUGUUCGUCGCUGGAGGGGGGCCUCGGGCGAGACGUAGAUCCUCCGGGGUCAGCUGCCCUUGCCCGAGGCUGGGUUCGGGUGAGGCGUGAUCGAGUCCCUCGAAUGGACAGAUCCCUGACUUAGUCGCACCCAUCAGGCCUUUGCAGCUUUGUGCUGAUGGGGGUUACCAGAUGAGAAUUAGGAGUCUUGAGGGUACCCCUAAUUAUGGUCCCUGACAGUUACUUAGUAAUCUUUUCCUUAAUUUUCUAGAUUAUUGGACGGCGGCCAAAAUUUUUUGAAAGCUCAGGGGCCAAACCGCAAGAAUUAGGGUGGACGGCGGGUUAAUUUGUAAAUAUUAUAGGGUCCCUUUUGCAUAAUAUUCUGGGUGAAGGGGUAUGUGCCAAUCUGGACAGUUGGAUCAGAGUUGGACGGAUGAGAUUAAAUCAAGUCCCCUCUGAACCGGUAUCAAGUCAUGGUCGCCCGAUCCAAUGCGGACGACCCAGAUUAAAUCGAACCUCUAUCCGAACCAGUACGCAUCACCGAUUGUUGGAUCUGUAAACAAAGGCUCUAAUUUAAAUAAUCACUAUCUGAUCACCUGCACCCGACCAGAAUCCUAUGACUCAGAUGGAAUCCAUUCGAUCGGUAUGGAAGACUUAAUCCUGGCCAUCGAUUUUUUGAUCCAUGGCUGUCGCAUCUCCCUUCACCUCCAGCCACCCAAGCGGCGGCGCCGAACAAUCCCCCGGCGGCGCAGCCUGCCGGUGAGGCCAUGACUGGUGCCCCGAUGCUCUAAUCCGCAAACCAAUGGGCGCUACUCUACGAGAAGUACAAGGCGAAUGAUGUGGAGAUGAUUUUACCGGUAAUCGAGUUCUCUGGAGCCGGCCCACAACGACCCGCGACAUCACGGUGUUGAAAGUACUCCAACGAGCAAUUGGGGGUAUCGCUGGUGGAUCUCCUCGCUUGGAAAGGCCCGAACAAAGUGCGAAUAAUACUGUUGAUCCCCCCAUCGCCCACCGGGGAAUUGACGUCACAAAUCAACCGGUGACGCGAUUUGCUCUCUUCCUCUCUCUGCUUCAUGGUGGCGGCCUCCUCCUACGUUCUCAUUCACGGUCUGAGGUCGAGGAAAGCUCACGGAUGGAUUAGCGGAGGGGAAAGGAGGGGUCACGAUAUAUAGGCAUGAGGAAAGAUGAGCUCUGCCCAAUAUCGCGAUUGAUUUGCCGCGGCAAGCGCGGAGUUCGCGCGGCGGAAGCCAGGAUUUGUUGCGAUCCUGGAAUAUUGUUCCGACAAAUGGGACCCA